rnacentral:piRNA from 1 species
CAGCUUUCGUCUGAGGGUCAAUGCUCUGUCU